GAGAGACUUUCUUGGCAUGAUAAGGGGUACAGAGAGUCGACUCUGCUGGUUGGAAACCACAGAAAUACAACGCCUGAAUCACAAGGGAUUCCCUUAUUUUACCAACGCUGAGGACUGUUUCCCUGGCAUAGAGUUCGUUGAGACAAACCUACAGCUGCUUACCACUGAACCUCACCAUGACCCUUCAGCUGUCGUUCUG